GAUGAAGAACGCAGCGAAAUGCGAUAAGUAAUGUGAAUUGCAGAAUUCAGUGAAUCAUCGAAUCUUUGAACGCACCUUGCACCCUUUGGCAUUCCGAAGGGUAUGCUCGUUUGAGUGUCAUUGUACUCUCACACUUCUGAUCCUUUGGAUUGGGAGCGGUGGACUUGGGUGUUGCUGCUUUACUGUGGCUCACCUCAAAUGCAUUCGUGCAACUCUUGGUUGGACAUAGUACGGCGUGAUAAGUAUCUUCGCCGGCACCUCGCAAGAGGGUGGCUGAUCAGGAGCUCUGUGCUUUCCAACUGUCUUCAGACAACAACUGACAACUUGACCUCAAAUCGAGUAGGACCACCCGCUGAACUUAAGCAUAUCAAUAAGCGGAGGA
rnacentral:misc_RNA from 1 species